CACUAUUUUCCAGUAAGCUGUAACAUCUCCUGAGGGCAGGAUCUGUGUCCAGUUCCACUUUGUACUUCUCACAUUUCUGUGCUAUAUUAGUCCUCAAAGGAAACUACCAGUCAACUGUCAGAGGAGGCUUCCAGGUCGACAUGCCAUCACUUCCAGUGCAGAGGAGGAGGCUUCCAGGCCAAUGUACCACAGUUCCCAGCACAGAGAAGGAGGCUUCCGGGUCAAUGUGCCCCUGCUGCCAGCACUGAGGAGGAUGCUUCCGGUCCACUGUAGCACCACUCCCAGCACAGAGGAGAUUUCAGGAAGAAAUAUAAGAAAUAUGGGGAGAAGGAGACGAAGCACAUCCACCAGAAACUUGAUGGCUGCUGAAGUCACUGACCUCUGGCCACAGAUUUAUUACAGCAUCUUCUCCACUUCUGU
ensembl:lncRNA